rnacentral:rRNA from 1 species
AGAUUGAACGCUGGCGGCAGGCCUAACACAUGCAAGUCGAGCGGUAGAGAGGUGCUUGCACCUCUUGAGAGCGGCGGACGGGUGAGUAAUGCCUAGGAAUCUGCCUAGUGGUGGGGGAUAACGUUCGGAAACGGACGCUAAUACCGCAUACGUCCUACGGGAGAAAGCGGGGGACCUUCGGGCCUCGCGCCAUUAGAUGAGCCUAGGUCGGAUUAGCUAGUUGGUGAGGUAAUGGCUCACCAAGGCGACGAUCCGUAACUGGUCUGAGAGGAUGAUCAGUCACACUGGAACUGAGACACGGUCCAGACUCCUACGGGAGGCAGCAGUGGGAAUAUGGACAAUGGGCGAAAGCCUGAUCCAGCCAUGCCGCGUGUGUGAAGAAGGUCUUCGGAUUGUAAAGCACGUUUAAGUUGGAAGGUAAGGUUAGUAAACUUAAGUACCGUUGACUAAACUUUGACGUUAACCGACAAGUAAAUAAGCAACGGCUAAACUUCGUGCCAAGCACGCCGACGUAAC